CGCCGAGUGAACUGGAAGGGUUCCAGCAGUGGCUCAUAACCACUUUGAUGCGGGUUCGAGUCCCGCCUCGGCAA
rnacentral:tRNA from 1 species